CCUACUUGCAGAAGAGAAAAACAUCUCAUUUGAUGAUGUUUGAUAGAAAAUUUCACGGGUUGGACAAUCCAUCAGUUUCUUUGGUUCAUGGUUCCAAUUACUAUUUACACUUUCCGCUACGAACAUGGACCUGUUUUUCUCAUUUCAGUAAAUCUGGCUUUAAAUUUUAACUUCUGGCUUAUAUUAUCUCAGUCUCUGAUAGUGUAAAGAGCCUCUUGAUACUUGUAUGUUUUCCUUACUCAGGUUUAAUGCAGCAUAACUUUUACUCACUUUUUAACGUCUAACAAGAUUACAGAAUUAAACUGUGAGCUCGCUUCCCCCUCUUCGAUGCAUUUUCCUCCCAAUACCUUUUAUUUCUGUUCUCCUGUGGAUAAAAAUCUGUAAGAAGUACAAACCAGCAAAAUCUCUCUAGUAUGAAGUGCAGGAUAUUCUAGAUGAUGCAUAUUCGAAGGAUGCCUUUUUUGUUCCCCAAUUAAGUAUGGAUUGGCAGGGAGCAAUAUUAUAACCCUGACAACACUGCUGUUGCAAUCAAAUCUGCUGUCUGUGGAGUUCACAAGGCAGAGCUGUCACUCUCCUGGUCACUUUAAUGGUUGGGAGUUGUGCUGAAAACCUUGGAGCACAUGGAGCAGGAGAAAAUAUUGCCCAGACCUUGCCACUAAGCCCUGUGUCCCGUGGAAGCUUCCUGAUGCUGUGCCCUAGUUAAUAUGUGAUCCCUCCGCUCACAGGAAAGGAGGAAACAUAUUAAGAGAAUAAUAAUUGAAACAAAAUUAGGGACUGGGGAUUUUGAGCGUACCAUGUUAUGUUUAAUUGGAACUCUCUUUAGAUUCAGAUUUUGCUAAAAGAUGUAUUUCUUAAGAUGUCUACCAGACUUCUCUGACUUUUACAAGGAACCCGUGAAGUACUCUGUCUUAAAGAUGUCACAGAGUUUAGUUUCUGCUUUGCAUAGGGGGCGAGGUCUACAUGUCCUGAAACAAUAUUCAGAUAAAUUCUCAUUGCCAUCUUGCUUUUAGACUAAUGGGCUUCUGUCAACCUGAAGAGUUUAGAUGGAGUAAUGACCCAGAAAGCUCUCCUUGCUUUCCUGCACAUUAACCUUUCUUUUCUGAUUUUCAGAUUUAUCUUUGAUUAUUCAAGAAGACUGUUUACUCAUGUUGGACCAGUAAAGAAAGUUUCCGUGAUUUUGUUCAUAUCCUUUAAUCACCUGUACAGCUGAAAUGACUCCAGACAAAAAAGUACUGUGGAGGAAGAAUUCUUGAAAAUAUGAAGCUGAAAUAGCACACACUGAAGGGUCAUAGAUAAACGUAUCCUUGCAGAUGUCCAGAGCACAACUAGGAGCCACUUGCUUGGCUUUCCUUGGAAAGGAACAGAGGUAGGUAACUUCAAAACAGGAGGGGAGAAUGUUAUGUUCAAGCUAUCAUAGGGCUGAUUCCAGUGUUUUUGUUUGUUUGGUUUGUUUGUCUUUCCUUAGUGUGACAAAAACAGGCAUCGGAGACCACUCAGGGAUGGACUCUACCUGUGUACUUAAGUGCUGGUGGCAGUAGUUGGACCACCUGUGUUUCUUACUUGACACAGCUGAAGUUCCUGCGCUCCCUGUAAUACCUCAUCUGUGGGUUACAAGCCACGUCAGAAGGAGUGGGAAACAGGUGGGUCAGAAAUUAGGUAAUGAGUUCUUAAAUAGAGCUGUGUUUAUGGAAAGGUGUUGGUGAUGCUACCAGUUAUCUACUGGUCACUCCACUUUGGUAUUUGGGGUUCAGCUGUAAUUUGAAGCUCGGCAAGCAUGUAUGAAUGCAUCGGAACACAUACAGUAAAUUCACAUCAGAGGCAUGUUCCUCAUACACUUGCCGUAUUUUGGUGACACUGUAAUUUGACUUACAGAAGGGGAGGCCAGGAACAGUCUGUACCAGUAGACACCAGAUUUUUCCCAGUGGGAAUGACAAACCAAGGGAGAUUAUUUUGCAAGCCAUCUCCUCUCCCAUUACGAGUUGCUAAGAUCACUUCUUCCUCAAGGAUUGUGCAAUAUUGAAUGCCUCUGUUGAACAUCAACUUGUUUGCAAGUGCCAGAAAUGAGGUUAAACCUGUAACUAAAGUUCUUUUUUUUGAGAUGAGCCACUGCAUAUUCCCCUUGUGGGAUUAAAAAACCAACAUUUUAAACCUCUGGAAUAUCCUAGAUAAUGUUGUGAACACCCUCAGUCAUCCCACCCUGGUGGUUUCGAGAGAUAUUAUAGGAAAGGGAUCACAAGUUCCUUUCAGUUCCUUCUGCUAAUAAAAUCCCUAAUAUUCUAAGUAGAGCGUGGAUGUGGAUGGUCUCGUUUUGACACCAUAUUAAUUACAGACAUCUUCCAUUUCUUCUUCAGAUGUUCCCUGUAUUUUCUGUAGCACGAGAGUUUAUCACGCAGAAAAAAAGUGAAAGAAAGCUGUGUAUUGUCUGUGAACAAAGCCAGUGAAGGACCUCUGUAACUGUUUCUAGGUGGUUCUGGUGAAAAACAACUCCGUGAGGAGUAACAGCAGCUAAAAGCACAGUUACUACUUUGUGUAGCACUGGUGUAACAGGAUAGUGGGAAGGCAGCCUUAAAGCAUGUAGUGCAUCUUCUGAGGCUUGAAAGAAAGGAGGUGAAUCUGUGACCACCACGUGUUUAAGAGAGCUGGCAUUGCAGACAUUACAUUAAUAACUUUUGGAAAUGCAGACAUGCGGGAGUUGGUAUUAACUUCAAUAGGAGUGAUUUCCAAUUUCCUAUCUUUACUCUGAUACAGGCAGUAAAGUCAUGAUAUUUGUAAAGACAUAGGCAUAGAGAGAAACGUGUGCGGGAAUGUCUACGAGAGAUUCUGCAGAACUCUGGAUCUUUUUAGGUUUAAAAAUGUUGCUGAAAGGGACUUCUCUCUUAUUUUCCUGCUUGACCUUUACACUGAAAAAAGAUCUUCCUGCUGAAACCUAAUGAAUUUACUUGUUGUAGGAGGCAAGACACUAAAAACAGGCAGAAGAGCAGCAAUGCAAUAUUUAGCCAGAGUGUUUACUAUUCGUUGCUGUUUGGCUUUGCAAAUAACUAUUUAACUAGUGUGACUCUUCAGAGAAAGAAACACUUUGUGAAAGUACCAGUGCUGCACUCAAGCACGUACCACUUCGACCUGAAAAACAUUCUCCAGAGAAAAACAAGGUCGAUUAAAUUUAAUGUUGAUAUUUUUAAGGUAAAAAACAACAAAUACAAAAAAUCUUACCGCAAACAAACAAAUCAGUCCUUGGACUUACUGGCUCACGUACCCUAAGGAGGUAGCAGCAGCACACUCCAGGCUCUGUAUUUUAAAAAUCUUUUGCAGAUGCAGACAGAUGUACAGAGAGCUUUGUCAAACAGCGAUGCUUCUAAACCUGUGUGAGAUGAGGGGCAUAUACCACAGUAGCUGUGAGGAGGAAUCCUCUCCUGGACCUGUUCUUCAGAUUCCUGGCUGCGUAACGUGGUAUUUGCUCACUGCUGGUCCGCUCAGGAGCCACUUGGAGCCAAGGGGGCUGACAAACAUCUGCUUUUUGUAGGUCUGCACUGGGACAGAUUGUCACCACGUAGCACGAACAUCUGCUCCGUGCAGAGCAGCAGUUGUGGUGCUUGCUGCGUGCCAGAGCCCCACGAAGCCGAGUCCGGCCAGGCAGUGCUAGCAGCAGUAUUUGGGGCACGUUCUGGAAGAGGAAGGAGAGCAGCCCAGUCAGAGCUCACGCAGCCUGCUGGAAAUAUGUCUUUCAUCCCAGAACCGCAGGGUCAUUUUGCCUGGAAGGAGGCUUUGGAGCGUGGCUGGUCCCUCAGCGCAGGGACCUGGAUCUAACCGAGAAGGGAAAUUAAGUGCUCUGGGGGGGGAAAAAAACUUACUAUUUGAAAAUGUGAAACCUUACUAUUAGAAAAAAAAACUAAAUUGGGUUAGUAGUGACAGUCGUGUUACAUGGGACAUAUAUUUUACCUUAUUGAAUGAUAAUAGUGUUUUACGUCA